UCUGGUGAUUAUGGCGAAGAGGUCACACCCGUUCCCAUGCCGAACACGGAAGUUAAGCUCUUCAGCGCCGAUGGUA
rnacentral:rRNA from 1 species